rnacentral:rRNA from 1 species
CGGGUGAGUAACGCGUAGAUAAUCUGCCUUAGACUCUGGGAUAACAUCUCGAAAGGGGUGCUAAUACCGGAUAAGCCCACGGGGACGUGAGUUCUUGCGGGAAAAGGGGGCCUCUGCAUAUGCUCUUGAUCUAAGAUGAGUCUGCGUACCAUUAGCUUGUUGGUAGGGUAAUGGCCUACCAAGGCGACGAUGGUUAGCUGGUCUGAGAGGAUGAUCAGCCACACUGGGACUGAGACACGGCCCAGACUCCUACGGGAGGCAGCAGUGGGGAAUUUUGCGCAAUGGGGGAAACCCUGACGCAGCAACGCCGCGUGAGUGAUGAAGGCUUUCGGGUCGUAAAGCUCUGUCUAGAGGGAAGAAGUGAUAUUUAGCUAAUACCCAGAUUUCUUGACGGUACCUCUGAAGGAAGCACCGGCUAACUCCGUGCCAGCAGCCGCGGUAAUACGGAGGGUGCAAGCGUUGUUCGGAAUUAUUGGGCGUAAAGCGCGUGUAGGCGGUUUGUUAAGUCUGAUGUGAAAGCCCUGGGCUCAACCUGGGAAGUGCAUUGGAAACUGGCGGACUUGAAUACGGGAGAGGGUAGUGGAAUUCCGAGUGUAGGAGUGAAAUCCGUAGAUAUUCGGAGGAACACCGGUGGCGAAGGCGGCUACCUGGACCGAUAUUGACGCUGAGACGCGAAAGCGUGGGUAGCAAACAGGAUUAGAUACCCUGGUAGUCCACGCCGUAAACGAUGAGUACUAGGUGUUGCG